UGUGAUCGAUGAGUUCCGGAAUGCUAGCAAUGACCAUUUCAAACGCCCUGAUGAACCGAAGAAGUGGGGGAAGGAAGGUUAUGAGAAGUUUCACUCAAGUGAAGGUCUUGUAGCAGGGCCUUUCAAGUUGUCUUCAUUGAUCUCCUUACAGAUGUUCAAGUUGGCAGAGUUCAUCUAUAACCCGGAACUGCAAGAUUCUUUGUGAUUAUGACGAGCUUAAAUUGGAUAGGGAAUGCAUGAGGUCAAUUCAGCCUCAUAACAGGGUGCGCAAAGAGAUAAUAUCGGCCUAUGCACAGAUCAUGACUUUUAAGGAAUGCCAAAAAUUCCUUAUCGAUUCUUGUCCU